UUUAUUUUUGGUUUCUGUACAAUUUUUCAAUUUGUGGAUUUUGUUUUUUAGAUUUUUUAUUAGUCUUAUGACUUCCUACACUUUGGUUUUGAGGGUACUGCAAGAGUACUGAUAGAGUGGCUAUUAAGCAUGUGAACAAUUGAAUUCAUAGCUUGUUGCAGUAAUUAGCUAGAAAAGGAAAGCCAGACUUGUUCUAUUCUGCUUCUAGUUUUAUUGAUGUUGUUAUAUCUACCAUUUCUCUUGCUUCUGAUGGUACAUUUAGGUUUGCUUCUGAUGUUGUACUUCCUUUGAUAAUUCUAGAUAUGCAUGUGCUUUUGUUUCCUCUGUUUUUAUAGCUUCUUUCACUGCUGCAAUUUUCAACUUUUAUGUUGGAUGACUAAUUAUAAACAAUGUUUAGUAAACUCAAAAUUUUGUGUUUGAUUUUUAGUAUCUAGCUUCUAUUCUGCUUCUACUUCUGGGGGUCUCUACUAUUGGAGUACCAAGCUUGCUGGCCCAAAAUGGUCACCAUUUGCUUAAUGGAUAACUGGCUGGUAUAUUGAGAUGAUUUCUUUGGAGCAAUUCUUGACAACAUUUGUAGUUGAGGCCUUUAGAAUGGAAGAAUGUAUUUCACUAAUUUUUGUAUACAUUUCUUGUUUUGUAUUUAGUGAUAAAGGAGCUGAAUUAGGCAUAAAUUAUGUUGUAAUAUGAUUUCUUAAAGCCUAGACUAGUAGACUAAAUAUUGUAAUUACAUUUGAGUAAUUAAUAAAAAUCUAUUUAUGUUA